CGCUGGCGGCGUGCCUAAUACAUGCAAGUCGAACGGUCUUUCUAUGGAAGCUUGCUCCAAUGAGAAGAUAGUGGCGGACGGGUGAGUAACACGUGGGUAACCUGCCCAUAAGAGGGGGGAUAACAUCCGGAAACGGGUGCUAAUACCGCAUAGUUUUCUUGAUCGCAUGAUCGAGAAAGGAAAGACGGCCUUUGUGCUGUCGCUUAUGGAUGGACCCGCGGCGUAUUAGUUAGUUGGUGAGGUAAUGGCUCACCAAGACGAUGAUACGUAGCCGACCUGAGAGGGUGAUCGGCCACAUUGGGACUGAGACACGGCCCAAACUCCUACGGGAGGCAGCAGUAGGGAAUCUUCCGCAAUGGACGAAAGUCUGACGGGAAGCAACGCCGCGUGAGUGAAGAAGGCCUUCGGGUCGUAAAGUUCUUUGAUCAGGGAUGAUAAUGACAGUACCUGAAAAACAAGCCACGGCUAACUACGUGCCAGCAGCCGC
rnacentral:rRNA from 1 species